rnacentral:rRNA from 1 species
UACGGAGGGGGCUAGCGUUGUUCGGAAUUACUGGGCGUAAAGGGCGCGUAGGCGGCCAUGAAAGUUAGGCGUAAAAGCCCUGGGCUUAACCCGGGAAUCGCGUUUAAUACUUCGUGGCUAGAGAUCGGUAGAGGAAGGCGGAAUUCCUAGUGUAGAGGUGAAAUUCGUAGAUAUUAGGAGGAACACCAGAGGCGAAGGCGGCCUUCUGGGCCGACACUGACGCUGAGGCGCGAAAGCGUGGGGAGCAAACAGG